GAGGCUGUUCCCACCCCCUUGGCCCUGUCGCGAGCCGAGGCCGCGCGGGCUCGUGAGCUGCGGCCUGGUGCGCGCGCUAGGCGGGCGACAGAGACUGAGGGACGCGGACGCCGCCGGAGUCGGGGCGAGAGCCGGAGAAUCCGCUGCUGAGGGGCCGCCGGAGCCGCCGCGAGCCCCCGGACCGUCGCUAGGCCGAGGAGGGCGCCGCGCGGCGGACUUGGCAAGAUGACCCAGUUCCUGCCGCCCAACCUUCUGGCCCUCUUUGCUCCCCGUGACCCCAUCCCAUACCUCCCACCCCUGGAGAAACUGCCACAUGAGAAACACCACAAUCAACCUUACUGUGGCAUCGCGCCCUACAUCCGAGAGUUUGAGGACCCUCGAGAUGCCCCUCCUCCAACUCGAGCAGAAACCCGGGAGGAACGCAUGGAGAGGAAGAGACGGGAAAAGAUUGAGCGGCGACAGCAGGAAGUCGAGACAGAGCUAAAAAUGUGGGACCCUCACAAUGAUCCCAAUGCUCAGGGUGAUGCCUUCAAGACUCUCUUUGUGGCUAGAGUGAACUAUGACACGACAGAGUCCAAGCUCCGGAGAGAGUUUGAGGUGUAUGGACCCAUCAAAAGGAUACACAUGGUCUACAGUAAGCGGUCAGGAAAGCCCCGGGGCUAUGCCUUCAUCGAGUACGAACACGAGAGGGACAUGCAUUCUGCUUACAAGCAUGCAGACGGCAAGAAGAUUGACGGCAGGAGAGUGCUCGUGGACGUGGAGAGGGGCCGCACCGUGAAGGGCUGGAGGCCCCGGCGGCUAGGAGGCGGCCUGGGCGGCACCCGGAGAGGCGGCGCGGACGUCAACAUCCGGCACUCGGGCCGGGACGACACCUCCCGCUAUGAUGAGAGGCCCGGCCCCUCCCCGCUGCCCCACAGGGACCGGGACCGGGACCGCGAGCGGGAGCGCCGGGAGCGGAGCCGCGAGCGAGACAAGGAGCGGGAACGACGACGCUCCCGCUCUCGGGACCGGCGGCGGCGCUCGCGGAGUCGCGACAAGGAGGAGCGGCGGCGCUCCAGGGAGCGGAGCAAGGACAAGGACCGGGACCGCAAGCGGCGCAGCAGCCGGAGCCGGGAGCGGGCACGGCGGGAGCGGGAGCGCAAGGAGGAGCUGCGCGGCAGCGGAGGUGGCGGCGGCGACAUGGCCGAGCCCUCCGAGGCCGGCGACGCGCCCCCGGAUGACGGGCCCCCCGGGGAGCUGGGUCCAGACGGCCCAGACGGCCCAGAGGAGAAGGGCCGGGAUCGAGACCGGGACCGACGUCGAAGCCACCGCAGCGAGCGGGAGCGGCGCCGGGACCGCGAUCGCGACCGGGACAGGGAGCACAAGCGGGGGGAGCGGGGCGGCGAUCGGGGCAGGGAUGAGGCCCGCGGUGGGGGUGGCGGCGCCCAGGACAACGGGCUCGAGGGUCUGGGCAACGACGGCCGAGACAUGUACAUGGAGUCCGAGGGAGGCGACGGGUAUCUCGCUCCGGAGAACGGGUAUUUGAUGGAGGCCGCGCCGGAGUGAAGAGGCCACUCACCGGCUGCUUGGACGUGUUCCUACUCUCCCUGCUGUCAUCCUCUCCCCCACCUUCCUGGUCACCACCUAAAUCUGCCAGCCAAGGGAGGGUGUCACCUUCUGACUUUAGAUGGCCCUACUCUGGUUGGUGUUCAGGACUGGAGCUGUAUGAACUAAGGCUAGGGCUAGUCCCGGGACAGCCCAGCUGUUUAAAAUAGGGUAAGGAAGCCCUCCUUAAGGGUCCUUGAUGCCUUUGUAUCUUCCUUCCUUGUUUUCAGCUCUCCCACACAUUUCUUGUGGAGCCGUUCAUACCCCUAUCUUGGUGCAGGGAUGGGGCUCUGGGCCAUGUUUUCACAAAGCAAGCAUGAGAGCAAGAUAAAAUGGUAAAGAGAAGAGACCGUCUUGUCUAUAAGUGGUAUUGGGACAACUGGACAGUUAGCUACAUGUAAAAGAAGAAAACAUUCUCUUAAUGCCAUAUACAAAAAUAAGAUGGAUUGGGGCUUCCCUGGUAGUCCAGCGGUUAAGAAUCUGCCUGCUAAUGCAGGGGACAUGGGUUUGAUCCCUGGUUUGGGAAUAUCCCACACGUCAAGGAGCUGCUAAGCUCAGGUGCCACAAUAAGAGAAACCACUGCAAUGAGAAAGCUGCACCCUGCAACUAAAGAGGAACCCUGCUUGCCGCAACUAAAGAAGGGCCACGUGCAGCAAAAAAGACCCAGUGCAGCA